rnacentral:rRNA from 1 species
UUAAUUGAAGAGUUUGAUCAUGGCUCAGAUUGAACGCUGGCGGCAGGCCUAACACAUGCAAGUCGAGCGGCAGCACAGAGGAACUUGUUCCUUGGGUGGCGAGCGGCGGACGGGUGAGUAAUGCCUGGGAAAUUGCCCGGUAGAGGGGGAUAACCAUUGGAAACGAUGGC